GAUGAACGCUGGCGGCGUGCCUAAUACAUGCAAGUCGAGCGCGAAGACGAGGAGCUUGCUCCUCUGAUUUGAGCGGCGGACGGGUGAGUAACACGUAGGCAACCUACCCUUGAGAUUGGGAUAACUACCGGAAACGGUAGCUAAUACCGGAUACGACACUACCACACAAGUGGAAUUGUUAAAAGGCGGAUUUAUCUGCCGCUCAUGGAUGGGCCUGCGGUGCAUUAGCUAGUUGGUGAGAUAGUAGCUCACCAAGGCGACGAUGCAUAGCCGACCUGAGAGGGUGAUCGGCCACACUGGGACUGAGACACGGCCCAGACUCCUACGGGAGGCAGCAGUAGGGAAUCUUCCGCAAUGGACGCAAGUCUGACGGAGCAACGCCGCGUGAGUGAUGAAGGGUUUCGGCUCGUAAAACUCUGUUGUUAAGGAAGAACACUUGAGGUAGUAACUGGCCUUGAGAUGACGGUA
rnacentral:rRNA from 1 species